ACUAAACAUGUUAUUAUUUCAUAUUUGUUUGAUUUCUAAAAUUAGUCUUUCAACUAUUUAAUCAGUCAGAUUUUAAUUAAAUUAUUAAACUUAUUAGUCAUUUCCAAAAAUUACAUAGUAACAAUAAGAGAGUAAUCCUAUACAUUACUGAACUAUUUUCAUCUUUCACAGAUUGUUGGUUGGGGUAAAACAGAAAAAGACGUGUCAAGUCCCAUUUUAUUAGAAGCCAGUUUACCGUACAUCGACCAUAAUUCUUGUCGAAGCAUGUAUAAAACAUGUAUAAAAAUGGUUUUCAAACGUUUGUAACUAUUGAAAAGUUCUGUACUGGGUCUGAAUAAGAACAAGGGGCUCGUAAAAGUGACAGUGGUGGGGAGGCUUAACGUUUUUACCUUCUAAUUCUUAUUAUUUAACUGGAGUAAUGAGUGUCAACGAUCCACAUGCAAACAAUUCAAUAUCGGUUUUUACAGAUAUUAAGUUUCACAUUCAAUGGCUUAGUAUGCUGUAUACAAAUAAUGAUUAAUAUCAAAUAAUUUGUUUUCAUUGUAAUCGAACACAAUAUUGAAAUAUUUAUUUAUGAAUAGAUUAUUACUUUUGUGUCACAAUUUUUGACAGUUCAUCUUUGCACAUUUAUUUGUUUAAAUAAAACUUAAUUACAUUUUUUUAUUGAUGCUUAAACAAAAGUUAAUGGUACGUUUUUUGAACAAUAUUUUUUUAUUUUCAGAAUCCUUAUUCAGAAUAUGUAUUCAAUAAAGCUUGACAAAAGUUAUUUAGAAAUACGUAUCUGAAUAAAUUAAAUAGUGAUUUUAUUAAAUUCAUAUAUUACGGCAUACAAAUUUUCAUUUUUCUAAUAAAUAAAAAUAGUAUAAUAUUAUAAUUGAAAUCAAAUAUUAAACAUUUUUUUUCAAUUCAGAAGUGUACACAAAUAAUCUAUUUCGAAUUCUGUAUUACAAGCUGUUAUUAUUUAUAUUAUCAAUUUCGGACGAUUAUCUAUCGGAUUUAUUUACAAGGCAAACGGUUGAACAUAUAAAGCCGUAUAAGAUAUCAAUCGAUCAGAAAUGUUGUGUAGAUGUGAACGGAAGAACUCGUAAGCAGAUUGGUUAGAUGGCUAAACGUUUUAGCCAAAUAUGCUCUUGUACUUUUAAAAAAUUAUCGUUAAAUGUAACAUGUCCCUGGAUCCACCGCUUCUCCAUCCCCCUAUUAUCAUUACUGCGGGGGGAGGGGGUGACUACAACUUACGACAAGUGACGACGACCACCGAACUACGACGUUUGCUAUAUGAACACGGGGCUCGUAAAGGUGACAGUGGUGCAGGCUUAAUGUUUUUACAUUCUAAUUCUUAUUAUUUAACUGGAGUAAUGAGUGUCAACGAUCCACAUGCAAACAAUUCAAUAUCGGUUUUUACAGAUAUUAAGUUUCACAUUCAAUGGCUUCGUAUGCUGUAUACAAAUAAUGAUUAAUAUCAAAUAAUUUGUUUUCAUUGUAAUCGAACACAAUAUUGAAAUAUUUAUUUAUGAAUAGAUUAUUACUUUUGUGUCACAAUUUUUGACAGUUCAUAUUUGCACAUUUAUUUGUUUAAAUAAAACUUGAUUACAUUUUUUUA